UUCGUUUUGUUCAAGAGUUUCGAUUUUUUCGAACACGAGAUGAAGACUAUAAAAAAAACUGAACGAACGAUAUCACCUUUUCAUUUGUUUGGAAACGUACGUGAUUGCAGGAAAACAGCCCAACAAAUAAAAUUACAAAAAUGUGGCCGUUGUAUCAGCUCUGCUCGCGUCUCUAGAUGGAAUAGCUUCAGACUCUCUGGCCAUGCGGUUUGGCACUUUGGCAGAUUUGAAGCCCUAAGCCAGCCAUCAUAACCACAAGAUUAUAUUCAAGUUCUGCUUGUGCUGGACCUGAGAUUGUCAUCACCAACAAUCUAAACAUCAUUGCCUGGAUCAACAACACAUCCCGUUUGAUUGGAGAAACUACCCAGGAUGUCUGCCGAGUUACGGAUCUCUUCUUCCCUUUUCCUUCAAUGUCCUCGUGUAUGCCCAUGUGAGUGUGGGUGUAUUCACGAGGACACCCUUAAUUGCUGAUCUGCCUGGUGGAUUCAACUUUUCUGUGGAUGGAAGGAGCACUUGUGGAUCAACUCCUGGCUGCCCCAGUCUUAAAGGAAGCAUUCUUUCGUCGGCGUCCCGAGCUCACAUCCAGAUUAUGCCCAAUGCUCCUACUAUCUGGCGAGGAACCAAGGAGUUGCCUAUGGCAGAAAACAAAAAUCUGUGAUUGUUCAUUAUACACACCGUAACUGCCUUUUUCAGGUGACGUUCCAAAUUGACGUUGGCCUCAUCCGUUUUCGGCUACAUCGACACGGGGCCCGUCGUGGCCCCGCCAGAAAAACCUCGACUGGAAUCAAGGGCCGUGUUAUCUCGUCAAACACGUGUUCAGUCCGAAGUGAUCCAGUGGAUCUUCAGGACGUCGGCAGUCUCCAGGCGACGCCUCAGUUGCCGCGGUAGGCGGAGGCCCUGUGCUCGUUGGUCAACGAGGAGCGGAUCGAUAUACGUUUUGAACGCGUCCGCCAUGAGCCUAUUGACUUUGUUCAAGAUCCGCGAGUUACCGCAGGACGAACUCGCGCUCCGUGGCCAAACAGUUUGGCAUAUACUGUUGUUGGACGAGAACACUUCCCGAUCCGGCUGCUGCACAAAGCGGCUGGACAUCUAUCCGACUCGGCCAGCACCCUGUGCGUCAGAGUCUUUUGCCUGCGUUUCAUCUGCACGAGAAUAUUGGGUGGCAAGUCGAAGCGGAAGGUCUGACUCUCCUCUUCAAAUUGCUACUCGUCCACUACAGGGGCGUCAUCGAUCAGACCAUUUCAGCAACCUGCAGAGCCAACAGCUUCCAGGGUUUUAGCUGAUGGGCUGGAUGCUAGUCAGCCACACCAGCCUGCUUAAGCAUUAUGAAUUCGGAGGAGAGCAGCGUGGACAAGGCACUGCUCCAGUUCUCCUCUUUUACGUUGACAACAACACGCAAUAGAUUACCUGUCGUACGACUGCCGGCAACGUCAUCCUGGGCCGGCAGGGAGUCCUGCGCUUCGUCACUCACAUCGGUGGCAGUCUCCAGAUUAUGGCGCCCAACAUUUUAUAACUUGCCGGCCGCUUGGUGGACAAGCUCUGGCCGGGCGUCUUCAACCGGGACCCCCACUACGCCUAGAUUUCAUCGUCUAGCUCAUCACGCAGGCCAAGAAGCGGACGUCGAGUGUCGGCGGCAACAACAGCAGCGCCAGCAGCGGCUCGGGCUCUACCGCCCUGGCCUUUCAGUCGCUGGACAACAUUAACCGCUGUCUCCCUUGAACACAUUGUUAAUGGCGGUCCACCCUUUUAGAUGUGACGUCUGAAUCCGGCGCAACGGCAGCGAAUCGUUGGUGACAGUCAAGUCCUAUUCUGUUCCACCCCGGGUUAUAAAACAGCG